CGUGUAGGCGGGCAAUCAAGUCAGAUGUAAAAGGCGACGGCUUAACCGUAGUAUGUCAUCUGAUACUGGUUGUCUUGAGUUCGAGAGAGGGUGGUGGAAUUCCCGGUGUAGCGGUGAAAUGCGUAGAUAUCGGGAAGAACACCUGGAGCGAAGGCGGCCACCUGGAUCGACACUGACGCUGAGGCGCGAAAGCGUGGGUAGCAAACA
rnacentral:rRNA from 1 species